UGAGGAAUAUUGGUCAAUGGGCGAGAGCCUGAACCAGCCAAGUAGCGUGCAGGAUGACGGCCCUAUGGGUUGUAAACUGCUUUUAUGCGGGGAUAAAGUGUGCGACGUGUCGUGCAUUGCAGGUACCGCAUGAAUAAGGACCGGCUAAUUCCGUGCCAGCAGCCGCGGUAAUACGGAAGGUCCGGGCGUUAUCCGGAUUUAUUGGGUUUAAAGGGAGCGUAGGCCGCCAGAUAAGCGUGUUGUGAAAUGUACCGGCUCAACCGGUGAAUUGCAGCGCGAACUGUUUGGCUUGAGUGCACGGUAAGCAGGCGGAAUUCAUGGUGUAGCGGUGAAAUGCUUAGAUAUCAUGAGGAACUCCGAUUGCGAAGGCAGCUUGCUGCAGUGCGACUGACGCUGAUGCUCGAAGGUGCGGGUAUCAAACAGG
rnacentral:rRNA from 2 species